rnacentral:rRNA from 1 species
CACGUAGGGCGCGAGCGUUGUCCGGAAUUAUUGGGCGUAAAGAGCUCGUAGGCGGCCUGUUGCGUCCGCUGUGAAAGCCCGGGGCUUAACCCCGGGUCUGCAGUGGAUACGGGCAGGCUAGAGGUAGGUAGGGGAGAAUGGAAUUCCCGGUGUAGUGGUGGAAUGCGUAGAUAUCGGGAGGAACACCAGUGGCGAAGGCGGUUGCCUGGGGCGUUGCUGACGCUGAUGCGCGAAAGCGUGGGGAGCGAGCCGG